CACUCAUUCUCCAUCUCUCUCUCACACACACGGCAAACACACUCUCUCUCCUCCUCUGCUCUCUCUCUCUGUCUGUCUCUCUCUCUCUCUCUCUCUGAUUCAGUCGCUCUCGAGCCGUAAGUUCAUUUGCUGUGUCAAGCAACAACUGGUUCGGAAGUGGGCAGCGGGUUUUGAUCCUUUUGUCAGCCGUUCCCUCUGACGAGGGCGUACUGCAUCCACCUGAACAGCACGGGACUGGCUGCUCGGCACGCUCUCUCUCGCUGGCAAACUAACCCCUUGGAAGCCGCCGCGAAGCUGGAGCUCCGUCGCCGUUCCAACCUGGGUUUAUCACGAUCAGGCAUCCCACCUUGCUGGCGUUUGAGCUGGGCGGAACGAGAUGCUGCAGGUUUGACAGGGUGAACCCGAUACAGUGGACUAUCAUCUCUAGGAUCGCUGUGGAAAUGGGAGUCAGAACAUGGAAGCUCACCGUUGGACCUCCACAAGGGAAGGACCCCCGAGGUCCUUGCAUCCCAGACGAGACGUUGAGGGGCCAUUGCUUUGCGCUACAAAGCAUCUUCAAUCGGUUGUUUUGAAAGGCCAUGCCGUUUUCCGAGCGGCCGCGGACGAUGCCGGCGGUUCUGUUGUUUCUCUCUGUUAAAGACUCUCUUCGGUGACGGGUAUUCUUGGGUGGAUAAUACGGCUCUCGUUGUUAUUGCUUAAGAAUACGCGUAGUCGAGGAGAGUCAUGCCAACGGCACCUGCACUGGAGUAGAAGGCCCACCUGCCCUGAGCUCACGCACGCACGUUUGCGAACGCUGAGGGUCACGCCCACAUCCACUUUGAGUCAGCAGAGCUGCACUUCCUGUCUGCGUGCGUGGUGUCGAUUCUCCGGCUGUACUCCCACAAAACAUGUUUUCUCUGUAUGCCGCCAGCCAAACGACAGACGAAUGGAUGUGUAUUCAUGUAGUGUGUAGAUCAAAGUUUGUGAUUUUGAGUUUUGCUUUUAAAAUGUGCAUCAAUUCGCUUUGCUUUCCCCACUCAUAGGGAAGCGCUGUACGUAACAGGCCGGGUGGGGUUGCGGAUGCAAUUGUGUUUGGUUUGUGCCAUAUAUUCUUUUCUCAGGACCGCACGCUCUACCUUUUUAAUGCAAAUUGAUUUUGAAAUGACAUUUAUCGCGUAGGGUUUCCAUAUGGAAGUUCAUAGCUCCAUGAGGCCUGGAGAAAAAAAUUGAAUGAAAUGUCCACAACGCCAGUGACAGCUUAAUUUAUGCGCUGGUGUGGAGACGGAUUGUAAAGGAACACACUGCAGAUAAACAGUUACCACGGGCUUAGAUUGACUGCGGCGUGGCUCUCCGCGUAGACUCGCACAUAUCAUGAAUAUGUAUCAGCCGUGCGUAUCAUGCGCCAUUCUAACGUCCAUGAAAUUCCAUUUAAGGAACCUAAUAGGAUCUACUUGACUUAUGAAGGCGUACAAUCAGACAUAUCACAUCUCAUAAAUAUACAUGAGAUUUUUUUUACAUUCAUUUUAUUUAUCUUCAAAAAUAUUUUUUUUCAGAAAUGACGUGAUAGAUAAAUCAGUUACGUUUGGUCUGACUGUUGAUGUAUUGACGUGGAACAUUUGUACAUCUGCAAACAUUUUAAUUUGUUCUCCAUUAUCAUGUUGCACGUUUAAGUGACGUAUUAGCAUUUCAGAUAGACUAAAAGCAACAAUCAGGAGGCACUGUCCUUGAUCACACUGUAAUUAUCGCUCUUUCGGCUAUGUGUUUAAAUGAAUAGAGAGAAAGGAGGUGUAGAUAGAGCGAGCAGAGGAGAAUGAAUGUAAUGUUUUACCACUAGGGGACUUGCACAACUGAGAACAGAUUGGAGCAGUGUUUAGUCUUAGUAACUUCUUAGUUUGUUUUUGAUGAACCAUACUAAAAUAUCGGUUUAGUUAUUUAAUUGUUAUAUUUUUAUAUACUGUAUUUACAGGUUUUGUGCUCUCAGGGCUUGAGUACCCUUAGAUUAUGUGCCAUUUAUUUUAUCCUAAAUAUAUAUUUAUUAUAAAUACAUAUAUUUAAAGAUUAAAUAGAUUAUUUUUAAGAUUAAAAUUUUAGACUAUUUUGUAUUAUAAUUCUUCAUUUUUUAUUUUUUAACUGAAUUAUUUUAGAUAGCACAAAACUCUCAUAGCUCUCAUGUUUAGAAACCUAUUGAUACAGUUAUUCUCUGAUAUAAUUUGUAUUGAUGGUGUUGAGUAAAUAUCUUGCUAGUAAAUAAAAGCUGAUUUCACACUGAUUAACUUCCACCUGCCAGCAGUUUAUGACUUGAUGAAAUUAUUCAGGCCUUUGCAGCUCAUCUUCAUUUGCUAUUUAUUGAAAUGAUCUUUAUCUGCACGUUUUCUAAUGUUACUCCUUCUCAUAUCAUUAAUAAAGCUUGACACAAGUUCAGUUAUGAUGCAUUUGUAUAUUUUGUCCUUUACAGUUGAAGAAUCACUUUUACAUUUAGGCCAUAACCAUACAGGCAAAAAUAAAAUAAGUAUGCAAACAAAUACUAAAUAUGUGGAUAUAUACAAAGAAUUUACUUAACAGUUUAUUUAAUUAUUGCUUCAAUAUAGGCUUAAAUAUUUAACAUACUGAUGCUUUUAUUGUUCUUAAAAAACAUUAUUUUUAAUAUAGCAGUAAAGGCUAAAAUUGUUGUGACUUCUUUUAAAAUCUUUUGAACAUUUUGCGUUUAGUUACCAGUUUAGUUCUUUUGUAAAAAAAAAGUUAUAUAAGAUGUAUUUGGUCAUUAUCAUAUUGAGACAUAAUAAUUCAUAACAUUCAUCGCUCUCUCUCUCUCUCAGAUUAUUCUGCUGUACGAUUAACCUUCCUCUUUAUUUCUCUUUCUGUGCUGCUCUGCCUCAGACAGAUUCACUCAUCCACAACAGGUCUUAAAUUACAGCCCCAAAUUUUCUCGGGGUGAUAUUUUGUUCCCAAAGCAAAUGGAGCAUUAAUUAAUUUUGGGUAAUGUGAGAUAUGCACUAAAAUUUAGGCAUAUUUGUCCAUUUUCAUGUGCAGAAAUGCCCCAUCACACAGCCUACUGUAAACUUCACACUCACAGCAUUGGUAAAAUGGAUUAUUAAUUUAUUGAUCUCUGCGUUAGAGGAAUACAAUACCUAAUUGAAGAAGCUGUGCAUUAAAAUGCUUAUUAGAUUUUUAAACAUUGUAUGACUAAUAGACAUUUUAAAGCGAACACAUGUUGAAGACACUCGUUCUCUGCUUUCAUAGGUUUUUAAUAAUGAGUUUUCAUUUGGCUAGUAGUUUACCUUUCACAGUUGGUAUUUGACCCAACCUUUUUAAUGACAUCAGCAUCCUCACAUGAGCCCUUUUUUACGGGAUUUUCCCCAUUUCCUUGUGCAUGACGUAAUGAUGUUCUAUCAUCCUCUGGCUUCCUCCAGGACCGUAAUGUGGUUUUCCACAAAUAAGAUUAGUGGCAUUAAUCAAUUGAAAAUGUGCUGCUUUAGCAUACGUUUCCCUGGGCCACGAAGUGCAGGAAAUGGCAGCUGCACUUCCAGUCAGAAGUUUGGAUAUACUUGGCUGAAUUGAUAUUGCACUUAAUAACCUUUUGAUCUAAAGGCUGAUGCUUAAAUGCUUCCAAUGAGUUCUAUAGACAUUGUGCCUACGUGUGACUUUUUUUACUAAAAUGUAAUUCUUUUUUUUAUUGUUUUAUAAAUGGAUUAGUUGGACUGGAUGGCGAAGGAAUGGCAGCCACAAAGCGCAAGGCAUAUAUGGGAAAUAAUGCAAAGAUUCUUUUAAAGUAUCCCAGAAUGCACCCGAGGAAGUUGGUUGAGAUGAUUAGGUUGUACAGAACAUUUUUAGUCAGAAGCUAAUAUUCUAUAUUAGUGUUCUAUAGGUUUUGUUUUAUUCUAAAAUAUGGAAAACAGAGGUAAUCAAGAGCGUGUCCAGACAUUUGGCACAAUCUUUUUGUUUCACAAUCUGCAAUACUCCAAAAAAAUCUUUUUUAACAUCUAAGGAAUCUUUUUUCAUUACAUUUAUUUUUCGAAACAGAAAGGUUCUUCGGAGGUUCUUUAUGGAACCUUUAAGGCAAAAAUGGUUCUUCUAUGGCCUCAGAAUCAAAAUCUACUUCCAAGUCUUUAUCACAAUCUAAAUCGCAACAUGCCCAUUUCUUCCUUUUAAUACUCACUAAGAGUUAAGCCGUUUUUCAUUAAUUGCAACAAUGCUCUGUAUUCCUCCAUGCAGCGCGAGGCAGUUUAUCACGUGUAUCAUUCCAAAGAUUAAUUUUCAGGCGGUAGGUGAGGCACGCUGAGGUAGUGAAGUCAAACUCCCAGAUAUCUUCAAUAAGGUUAUACUGUGGAUGGGGUUUUAAGUUGGUUUAAAUAGCAGCCUAUGAAAUGUACCCACAUCAGUAGCUCGCUGAUAGAGGCUUAGCAAUCUAUUUAAAAAGCAAUUUAUUUCCACAGCAUUGGAGCUGGCGCAGAUUGAACGCGGGAGAGAUCCUCCACUUCCAAAUUCUCAGUGGACACCGCUCAUCCUAUUCUGGCGCGAUCGCUCUCUCGCUCAUCUUUUCCUUUUUAUCACUCCCCUCUUCACAAACUCUUGCGACUUAUAUUCCUCCAAGAGCGCUCCGUGAAAACCUCUUUGGCCGGAAAAAUCGCUUUAGACUUUCGUAGAAAACAUGAUUGAGGGCUCUCAAUAACAGCGGGAAAUUAAAUGUUAGAUUCGCUGGAAAUUAAAUGUUAGAUUGCAAAUUCCAAAGUUUGUAUUUACACAUUUUGCAAUAGCUUUUAUUUUAAGAAAAACUAUUUUUUUUAACUGGGAGUCGAAACCACAACCUUGCCGCCAUGCAGAAACACUUAAGGUAGAGAUGCACGUGUACACAAAAAAACUUCACAGUUACAGGUGCCUGUUUGUUGAGUUAAAUGUAAGUCUGUGGGCUGCGCUUGUGUCCGGUCUUUUGCUGACGUAGAGUGAGCGGUGACUGAUUAUUUUGCCCCAUCGUCCAUUCAUCUCUCCCGCUCUGUAAGAGGCGUCGCUCGGCGCUUAACUAGGGCCAGGCCUUCUGUUACCUCUGAGCUAUCACCUCAGAGAGAGAUACUGUGAUUAAUCAGAUCCCCUAAAUGCUGGCACCCCCCGAGAGGCUCCUUCAGCGAGAAGCUCUUAGGUCCUCACCUCCCAUAAACGCAGAGAGUUCAAUCUUCACGGAAAGCUGAGGUGGGGGAGAAAAAUCACGCUUUCAUUUUGGUUCCAAGCAGACUGCAGAACAUCUACCGUCUGCUCGCCGCUGUAUAAAUACCUGGUGCACUCAGCGUUCAAUCACCAGCUUCCUGCGCUCGCUGGUUUUUAGGGUUAGAAGUGCUAGGGCUUUGUCUCGUGUAUGGUCGAGGAGAGGAUGUUUCUUUUUAUGUUUGUCUGAUGAAAAAACUGAUGUCUUUGAAAACAGUCUGCAAGAUCUGUCCUCGGUUGCCUUUGUAAUGCAGAGAAGUGGGUUGUUUUGUUUUUAUGAGAAGGAAACGUCGUCAUUCUUAUUUGUGGCAUUUGAAAUGACUUAAUGAGAAAAUCUCAUUCCUACAUUUGCGUGGUAAGCUAAAUUCAUUUUGUUUUGGUAGACGCUGUUCUGGGAAUUGCCUAAAGCAAAAACGAAAAGAUGGGUUAUACUUUUAGUGUUUGCUUUUAGACUCACAGAGAGACAGACGGAUAAAUGGACACAGACAGACAGACAGAUCUAUAACUAUAGUUCUAUAAUUAGAUGGAUAUACAGACAGACAGACAGACAGAUCUGUAAUAAAACUAGACAGACAGACAGACAGAUCGAUCGAUAACUAUAGUUCUAUGACUAAGUAAUGGAUAGAUACUGUAGAUAUAUAGAUUGAUAGACAGACAGACAGACAGAUAGCUCUAUAACUAGUCCUAGAUAGACAGACAGACAGAUAGAUGUAUAACUAUAGUUCUAUAACUAGAUAGACAGACAGACAGACAGACAGCUCUAUAACUAUAGUCCUAUAACUAGGUAGACAGACAGACAGACAGACAGACAGCUCUAUAACUAUAGUCAUAUAACUAGGUAGAUAUAUAGACAGACAGACAGAUAGCUCUAUAACUAUAGUCAUAUAACUAGGUAGAUAUAUAGACAGACAGACAGAUAGCUCUAUAACUAGUCCUAGAUAGACAGACAGACAGAGACAGAAAGAUAGAUAGACAGGUAGCUAGAUCUAUAACUUUAGUCCUAUAACUACGUAGGUAGAUAGAUAGACAGACAGUUAGACAUAUUUAUAACUUUAGUCCUAUAACUAUGGACAGAUAGAUAUAGACAGACAGACAGACAAGAUAAAUCUAUAACUUUAGUCCUAUAACUAGGUAGGUAGGUAGAUAGACAGAUAGACAGACAGACAGUUAGACAUAUUUAUAACUUUAGUCCUAUAACUAUGGACAGAUAGAUAGAUAUACAGAUAGACAAACAGAUAGAUCUAUAACUAGUCCUAGACAGAUAGAUAGAUAGACAGACAGACUAUAGUCCAAUAACUACAUAGAUAGAUAGAUAGAUGGAUGGAUGGAUGGAUAGGUUUUAAGCAUAGUUUUAAUUUGAAAAAUAAUUUUAAAUUUACAUAGUUGCUCACAAAGCUCUCUGGUCACACACAUUUUUCAAGAAAUGAGUAACGUCAUCUUCGAAACAGAAUUUUCUUGUAACCUGAUUUUCCAUUGAUACAUUUUUAAUGCAAAUACAUUUGCUCUUGAAUGAUCUUUACACUGUCCCACUCUCUCCCCCCUCGCUCGCCUCCUCCAACCAAAGCCAACAACACACGCUGGUGUGUCAUUCACAUGCAAAACAGGGGCAUCCAGACACUUGUCCCCAGACUUACUAAUCUAUUGAGUCCCAAGACACAACCUUUCCUACACGCUGGCUGAAUGUGUGAAUAAUACAAGCGUCUAGACUCUGCACAUAGCAAGUAUUCUUUGAGGCCGUAUUAGACCUGCUUUGAAGGCGAAAGAGAACGAGUUUGGGCUUUUUUUCUCUAGUAUUUUCAAGGUCUUGCGAUAAGAAACUGACUGUGAUAUCCGGCUGUCUGCGGGAAUGAUCUUCACCGGGCCGCGAGGUGUUAUUCUGAACGUCUGUCCUGCGGCUGACCCUGCGCGAUAUCUGUCGUCCCUUUUAUCAGUGCUUUAAUCCGUAUGUUCUCUAGUGUCUUUUAAUGUUCGCGCGGUACUCGGAUAAUUAAAGAACAUUUUUAGGUUUUAUAAUCAAAGUUAGUCAAUGGCUAAAACCCUCGGGUUUGGUCAUUAGUUCUGGUAACAUAAUAAUAACGUAAACACAACGUUAUGGUCCUUGGUGUGAACAGACCUUAAUUCAAAUUAAUAUGAAAUAAAAACUCACGGCAAAAACGAUUUAUGAGGAGGCUAAUUUUGGCUACUUCGAAUGAAUUCAUAUGAUCUCAUUGGUACAUAUUAGUACGAUUUGCGCCAGUGACGUUAAGUUUAAGGUCAGGGUUCAGUAUUGCUUUUAUUUUUUUAUCGUCAAAUUAGCCACCUCGUAAAAUAGUUACGAAUUCCUGUGAGAUCAGGUUGGAAAUGAUUAAAAAUGCUGUGCUAUGUGAAACACACUAGGUUCAUGUUUUCAUGAGGGUUUUUUUCUAACCAAUGGUUGAAGCCCUGGGUUAAGUCACGGCGCUUAUGUUAAAUUAAUGCAUUUAACAUCACUUAAAGUCACGUCACUCCAAGCCAUCGUGAUCAUUUAGACACACAGAUGAUUGUGUGGUGUCACGUGUUGGACUUGACUGGGCACACACUUCAUUGUGACUCUUAACUUCCGAAUGAACUCUAAUGAAAGCCCACUCUCCCUCUCUCUGCUUCCACUCUGACCUCUCUCUCUCUCUCUAAAUCUAUUUCUAUUUCCCUCUAUUUCUCUGCCUCAUCUCUUGAAGCUAGUGCAUGAGUGAUGCUGUCUGCCCACCCCAUCAGUGAGCUGGACAAAAACAGUGGGAAGCACUUAAUGACGGCCUUGUUUAGUAAUUCAUUAUUGAUGAUGCCUGUUUUCUCCCACUGAUGCAUUAUGGGGGCUGAUUUCCCUCUUCUGAAAGACCGUGUUUCCAUACGGCGAGUCCCACAUUUAAAUAGAAAGUGGGUUUUAUUAAAAAAUACAAGAUGAAAUCAGAAUUAUUUUUUUUCAUUUCCUUUAUUUAACUAGGUUAAAAACUCAUUGAGAUCUAAGAAAUCUCUUUUAAAAGAGUGAAGUGGCCAAGAAGGCAGCAACCAUGUAACAAAGACCAUUUUAAACAACCUUUUUUAUAAAUUUGAUCAGAAUAUACGUUCUUAUCAAAUGGCCCUGGUCAUUCAUUUUGUGAAGUUGUACUGUAAUUGUACAUCCAGGGACAUAAAACCACACUCCACACCCUAUAUUCUUGUACUUUGGUGUGUUCCAUAAUUGGUCUAUAGCAACAACAUAAACAAAGGUUACUGUGCAUGCACGCUUUAGUGGCCUAAACUGAAAGGUCCAUUGUGUCAUUUUUUGCAGGAUCUAUUGACAGAAAUGCAAUAUAAUAUUCAUAACUUUGUCUUCAGAAGUGUACCUUACAUAAUGAAGCGUUAUGUUUUUAUUACCUUAGAAUGAGCUAUUUCUAUCUACAUACACCUCGGGUCCGAAUUCGCCAUGUUGUUUCUACAGUAGCCCUAAAGGGACAAACUGCUCCACAGAGCGCUUUACAUAAAUGGGGGUUUAUGCAACUGCGAGCACUUUUAAGUCCCAGCAGUGAAAUCUUAGAUUUAUGUCAAAAUUUGUCAUAUGACUCUUUAUAAAUAUAUUUACAGUGUCAUCACACACCUUGAAAAAAAUGUAUAAUUAAUUAAUAAUGUGAUUUAAUAAAAAAUUAUAUAGCAUUUAUAGGUGCAAACAUUGUUUUUGUUCAUGUCCCACGACUCUGGUCACAAUAUUAAGAUAUGUAAAAUAAGCUAAUUGAAUUACAAUUUGACAUUAUUUCAAAUGGAAUUGUUUAAUAUACAUAUUAAUUUACAGCAUCAUAAAUGUUUUUGUAUAUUUUACUGAUCAUUUUUAUAAUUUUAUGAAGUAAAUGUGCCUGUGCCACACUUUUGAGUCCUUACCGCAACAAUGAAAAAAGGCUUUUUUAAUGAAGUUUUAUCAAAGACAAACAAGUCUAGUUUCUAUGGAAACAGAUAUUACCACAUGAGCACAUUGCUGACAGAUUAGGCCACCACUACCUCACUCACAAGAUCCCAAAAAUAUAAGGUAAAUAUCAUCUUUUCUGUGUCAGUAUUUAUUGGGUGUCCUUACCAUACAGCUUAGUAAUUCUGUACUUUGAACUACAUUUUAGAAAUAAAUGUAUAUUACUGUACUGUUUAAUUCAUGUAUUUCAAAAUGCUAAGAGUCAAAACUAAUGUAGUAGACCUUACUAGCUGCCAAUUAGCUGCAAUAUUAGCAAAAAUGUCAUUUCCGCAACAUGACAUUACCGCAGCACAUUUUCAAGGUUUCCUGUAUCAAUUAUAAAUAUAAAAAUAAACAUGUUCCAGAUUAAAAUCUUAAUGACUCCAUGCAGUUUUGUUGAUCUUAUAACAUGUAUUUCAGACUCUGAUGAUUAAAAUUCACAGCAUUCACAGGGGUUGAUUUUUUUUUUUGGACAGUCAAAAGUGUCCGUAGUUGCAGAACCACCCAAUAUACGUUAUCUCCUUUGGCAAAGAAGCGAAAACGUGAGGACAUGUUUGUCCUGUGUCAGUUGCCGUGGUGCUUCGAGGGGUAGGGGUGGAGUGAGCCGUUGGUUGCAAUUCGAAACCUCACCGCUAGAUGCCGCUAAAAUCUCCACGUUGCUCCUUUAACUUCCAGUACACACCCGCAAAGAAUAGAGUCCCUGUAAAUUGAUAAUAAGCAAAAGAAAUAACAAGUCAAUUACAUAAGCUAGCAAGAUAAAAGUAUGUCUAGCCAGUAUUAUUUUGGGUUACAAGUAGAAGAAUUGUUGCGACAAAACCCAACAAUUUUUUCAUUUAAUACAAUUAUUAUACAAUAAAAUAUUCCUAUAAAUGAAUAAUAAUAUAAAUGAAAUAAAAUAAAAUAUAAAUGGUUAUAUUAUUAGCCACUAGCCAAACCGAUAACCAAACGCAGACCAGAAGUUAACUUUGCGCCAGGCGCAUACAUCCAAUGAAACCGUCUAUACAGUUUGUACAGUAAAAAAGUCAUUAUGUUCAUGGAAAGUCCCCAUGAUGUAUUAACACAAACACGUGUGUGUGUAAACAAUGUAACGCAUGCAAACAUGUUGAGUCAGUCUUGCAUGUUGCAUUAAAAGUCAUAAUCUGAGACAAGGACUGGAUCGUAAUGAGAGCAUGACAAUCCGACAUGCCACUCUCUCGCAGGUUAAACAGCAGCAGUUGGAGACUAUCACCGGUUUGGUUUGUGAGCAGAAUUAAUUAGCAGUCACUACAGCUGACACAUCAGUUUUACACUGACCUGCAAUUAACAAUAACACUUCUUCUGCCUGUGUGUGUUUCAUUGGCAGCAGCCCGGGCCGCUUGAUUCGUAAUUAAAGUUUCUUUGGUCUCUGAGGUAUUGUGGGACGAAAGUGGAAACCCGAGGUACCUGUGAAGCUCCCAGACAUAUUUUCAUAUCUAAUACAUGUAACACAAUAGCUCUGUUCCAAAACCUAGUGAGCUGUGUGCUGUCUACAGGAAUCCCAAUUGAAUCCUAUAAGUAACCGAUGAGAGACGCUCUUUACAGACAGCGACUCGGUGUGCUGCACAAAUAGCACAGCUCACGUGAUGCUAAGACGCAGGUGUGUGAUGUGAAUAUAUGCAGAAUUAAUGGUAAACAGUUGUUUUUAAAUGUUAAUGUAGAUGAUAAGAAAAGCUCUUUAGCAAAUCGUACAUUGUUUUUCCUCAGUAUGGUUCCCAGAAGACUUCUUUGUCAAUCUUGACCGUAAUGCUCCUUUGUGCUUUUUACCACCCAGAAUGCACUGGGGGAGAGCCGAUAAGUGAGAAGAUGCAUUUUGUGUGCAGCAGUGGCCGUGGUGCAGAUGUUGCUGGUUAUUUCCAUGAGGUUUCAUCAUGGUGUUGAGACACUGAACUCUAUGGAAAUCUGCCUUGAUUCUCUAGAGUUGUGUUUGUCUGGGCUCCGUGUGUGUGUGUGUUUGAAUUAUUUUGAGAGAGUCCAUAUGUCAUUGUGUUUGUGUUGGUUUGUAGAUUGUAAUUACGUAUUAAUUUGUGUUUGUGUUGAUGUACUGUAUAUGACAAAUACUGCAUUAUAAGCGUUUGGAUCCAUCGAUUUUAAAGGGAAAGUUCACCCAAAAUGAUCAUCAUUUACUCACUCUCAAGUUCAAACCUGUAUGACCUUGUUUCUUCUGCGGAACACAAAAGAAGAUAUUUUGAAGAAUGUUGGGAACCAAACAACAUUGACCCCCAUUGACCUCCAUUGUAUGGACACAAACCACUGAGACAUUUCUCAAAAUAUCUCCUUUUGUGUACACAGAAGAAAAAGUCAUAUACAGAUUUUGAAUAACAUGGGAGUGAAUAAAUGAUAACAGAAUAUCUAUCCCUUUAAGCCUCAAUGAUUUGAAACUGUAAAAUCUGUUUUCGUGUAGUUGUUUGCAUACAGUAUCUGUGUUUCAGUCUGAUGUGUGAAGUACAGAGGUCCAUAAAUACAGCGUUAAUGUGGAAUCUUUUCGCAGUUAGGUGUGCAAUAACAACGUGAAAUAUAAAAGAGUGAGGAAGCGAGAACACUGCGUUCAUUGUUAAUUUGAUGUGAUGUUUGUUUACAGCACGCGCCAGCUUCCCUGUGGAAAUUCUGCAAUGACACAUGAUUCCUAAAAUAACACGAUGACACCCAUAAUUAAAUUAGGAUUGACCUUCAUGUGAAAUAUUUAAAGAAAAGUUUUAAGGCGUAUUUUUGAAUUCUGACAGUAGUAUGGAAAUGUACAUUUAAAAUAAAGUUGUAUAGGGAUCGUUUACAUAAAUAAUAAAAUUGUCAUCAUUUAAUCACCCCCCUGUCGUUCAAAAUCUUCCUUCUGUGGAACACGGAAGAGGAUAUUUUGAGAAAUGUCUCAGUGGUUUUGUGUUCAUACAAUGGAAGUCAAUGGGGGUCAGUGUUAUUUGGCUACCAACAUUCUUCAAAAUAUCUUCUUUUGUGUUCCGCAGGAGAAAGAAAGUCUCACAGGUUUUUAAAUGAUGUGAAGGGUGAGUAAAUGAUGAAAGAAGUUUCAUUUUAGUGUGAACUAUCACUUCACAUGUUCGAUCCAUCAGUGUGUGAGCUUUAUCGUAAAAUAUUACUAGAUUAAAUUUGAACAUGUAAAAUAAAUAAGGCCCAAUGCACACUUUUUAAACAAAAUAAUGAAAAAUAGUAAAGAAAAAAUAAAUAUAUUUGGCUAAAUCAUCAUAAUGAAAUAUUUUCGGUUUUCACAUGCUAAUGUUUAUUUUUGCAUUCAUAUUCCACCGUAAAUGUUUUAAAUCUUCUGUUUGACACUAACUCUGCCUUGUUUUUCAGGAUUGCUCACAUUUCAAUGCAUUAUUUUGCUCUUCUUGGACUCUCAAACAGCUCAGGGAGAUCUCAGGCCUGCUUUCUAAAGACUUUAAAGCUUCCAGCUGUCCUCAGUUUCUCUAAAAUCGUGGAAUGGGCCGUUCUGGCCCGACUCAUAAUAGGUAUUUUUGGAGGACAGAAGCUCCAAGUAGCUGCUGAUCGAGGCUAAAACUCUUCCUCAACACAGAGGAUGUUCUUAUUUUGUAGCCAGUCCUAAAUCUAUUGUUUGAUCUAAUUAUUCUGCCUCUAAGGCCUUUUAUCCGGGCACUGCUGAUGAAACCGAGGAGAAAGAAGAGGCAGAGGGUGUCUCCCGGUUGUUUGAGGCGUACCAGGACAUCCAUACACAGGCACGGAGUGAGAUAAAGAGAGCUAGAAAGAGGGAGAAUAAAAGAGGAACGAGUGAUUCAGUCACGUACGGCCGGGCAUUAUCCAGCCAACAAUGAAAGAUUACAUCAUAUCAGCUAGCAUCAUUUUUUCAAGGUCUUUUAUUGAUUUUUUGAAUGGCGAAUGCAGCUGUUGAAAGUGUACAGAAGAGAAAGCCUUUGAAUCUACAGGAUCACAUCAGGAUUUUAUAGACACACAGAAAUGAUUUGACCAUUCGCCUUUCAUGCGGUGAGUGAUCGCAACUUCUGUAGGGCUUUGUAGGUACACAACUCUUGAUUCAUCUCUAGACUGAAGAUGUUUUAAAAGAACGUCAUCAAAGGUGCUGAUGGGUCAAAAGGGCAUGGGCGGGGCUACAUAGGAGGUUAUUGAUCCAUUCGGUGGUUUUUGAGUGACUCAGGACAAGGGGUCUCUCACUCCGUGCCGCACAAAUCAAGGUAAUUGUGAUUGGCUCAGGCCAGGGGUCGAUGACGGAUUACUCCGCUGAAGAGAAACAUCUGUUCUCUGCCAGUUGCCGACAGAUCGCUGUGAUAACGUUUAAUUUUGCAAGGGGUCACCGGACCAAUUACAUCGCUGCUCAAUUACUCCAGAAAAUGGAAUUGAUAAGAGAGAACGAAAACAUUAAUGAUUUUGCAAGAUUGUUGCUAUGUGUGGAGAGAUUUAUGACUCUAAAUGACAGCAUCGGAGCAUGUGGAUUUGUAAGCGUGAUGGGAUGUAUUUUCCUUGAGGGCACGACAAAAUGAUGCAAAACAUCUAACCAAAAUACAGCAUAUAUGUAUGUAACAUAAUAUAAAGCCACGGAAAAAAUGAAGAGACCAUUUCAAAAUGAUUUUCAAUUUUUCGGAAUGGGUAUGUGUUUAGGUAAAAUGAUCGUAUUUGUUUCAUUUUGUGAACUGCUAACAAUAUUUCCUCCACAUUUCAAAUAAAAGUAUUGUUUCUAUUAGCAUUUAUUUGCAGAAAAUGAAAACUGGAGAAACAGGUCAAAAGUAACAGAAAAGAUGCUCUGUAUUUUUCAGACCUCAAAUACUGCAAAGAAAACAAGUUCAUAAUCACUUUGAUUGGAAUGGACUCCAAUUGGAACUUUUUCCGCAGCUCUAUAUCUGUGCAUGUGUUCGUUUAAUGUGAUGUUUGUACACCAUUUGACACAGGUUCCAUAUAUAUAUCAAAAAAUAUAUCAAGGAAAAACAUAUAUAUACCCCAAUAGACAAGCAUGUUAUGAAUUUACGUAUGAUCUUAAAAACUAUGUUGAAGGAAAUUUUGACUUUCCUUUCUGUUGAGAUAACACAAAACCGUUUCUGAAAAGCAGAAAGACACACAAAGACACAUCAUUUUGUUGAUCUCACAGAUUGUGUUAACUUGUUAAACAUAUUUAA